rnacentral:rRNA from 1 species
CCUACGGGUUGCAGCAGUGGGGAAUCUUGCACAAUGGAGGAAACUCUGAUGCAGCGAUGCCGCGUGAGUGAAGAAGGCCUUUGGGUUGUAAAGCUCUUUCGUCGGGGAAGAAAAUGACUGUACCCGAAUAAGAAGGUCCGGCUAACUUCGUGCCAGCAGCCGCGGUAAUACGAAGGGACCUAGCGUAGUUCGGAAUUACUGGGCUUAAAGAGUUCGUAGGUGGUUGAAAAAGUUGGUGGUGAAAUCCCAGAGCUUAACUCUGGAACUGCCAUCAAAACUUUUCAGCUAGAGUAUGAUAGAGGAAAGCAGAAUUUCUAGUGUAGAGGUGAAAUUCGUAGAUAUUAGAAAGAAUACCAAUUGCGAAGGCAGCUUUCUGGAUCAUUACUGACACUGAGGAACGAAAGCAUGGGUAGCGAAGAGGAUUAGAUACCCGGGUAGUC